UACGUAGGCAGCAAGCGUUGUUCGGAAUUACUGGGCGUAAGGAGUGUGUAGGCGGUGCUCCAAGUCUGGUGUGAAAUCUCCCGGCUUAACUGGGAGGGUGCAUUAGAAACUGCAAGGCUAGAGUCUCGGAGAGGAUCGUGGAAUUCUCGGUGUAGAGGUGAAAUUCGUAGAUAUCGAGAGGAACACCGGCGGCGAAGGCGGCCAACUGGACGAAUACUGACGCUGAGACACGAAAGCGUGGGGAGCAAACAGG
rnacentral:rRNA from 1 species